rnacentral:ncRNA from 1 species
AAACGAGGACGACCUCGCCCGGUUCGGGUUUUAUAUGUUCGGGACGACCCGA